CAGAGGCCUCGUAGCGUUAGGCGGAAUCACUGGGCUUAAAGCGUGUGUAGGCGGAUUGGUAAGUACCUUGUGAAAUCCCACAGCUUAACUGUGGAACUGCUCGGUAUACUGCUGAUCUUGAGCCACUCAGGGGCUACUGGAACAAAUGGUGGAGCGGUGAAAUGCGUAGAUAUCAUUUGGAACGCCAAUGGUGAAAACAGGUAGCUGGGGGUGUGCUGACGCUGAGACACGAAAGCCAGGGGAGCAAACGGGAUUAGAUACCCCGGUAGUCCUGGCCGUAAACGAUGUCGACUAGAUCGUGGUGCCUCUGACGGUGUCACGGUCGUAGCAAAAGUGCUAAGUCGACCGCCUGGGAAGUACGGUCGCAAGGCUA
rnacentral:rRNA from 1 species